UUGGAGAUACAAUCAAGGAAAUGCUCUUGAUGGUAAGUUAUUCCCCUUUUUAUUUCUGCGUGAGCUUUCUUGAACUCUUUAUCGUGAUGGUUGUCUUUUUGUAUCAGGUGAUGGGCCUCUUUAUGGAGGUGGAUGCUCGCGACCACUCUCUCCAGGAAUCUGUAGACCGCCGGAUUGAGGAGGCGCGCCUGGAGGAGAA
rnacentral:lncRNA from 1 species